rnacentral:rRNA from 1 species
AUUGAACGCUGGCGGCAUGCCUUACACAUGCAAGUCGAACGGCAGCAUGGAGAGCUUGCUCUCUGAUGGCGAGUGGCGAACGGGUGAGUAAUGCAUCGGAACGUACCGUGUAGUGGGGGAUAACGUAGCGAAAGUUACGCUAAUACCGCAUACGACCCGAGGGUGAAAGCAGGGGAUCGCAAGACCUUGCGUUAUACGAGCGGCCGAUGUCAGAUUAGCUAGUUGGUGAGGUAAAGGCUCACCAAGGCGACGAUCUGUAGCGGGUCUGAGAGGAUGAUCCGCCACACUGGGACUGAGACACGGCCCAGACUCCUACGGGAGGCAGCAGUGGGGAAUUUUGGACAAUGGGGGCAACCCUGAUCCAGCCACGCCGCGUGAGUGAAGAAGGCCUUCGGGUUGUAAAGCUCUUUCGGCCGGGAAGAAAUCGCACAGGCUAAUACUCUGUGUGGAUGACGGUACCGGCAUAAGAAGCACCGGCUAACUACGUGCCAGCAGCCGCCGCCG